rnacentral:tRNA from 1 species
GGCGCUUUGGCAGAUCGGUUAUGCAGCGGAUUGCAAAUCCGCCAAGCUCGGUUCAACUCCGGGAUGCGCCU